GACGAACGCUGGCGGCGUGCCUAACACAUGCAAGUCGAACGGAGAUAUUAAUGAAGCUUGCGAUUUAAUAUCUUAGUGGCGGACGGGUGAGUAACGCGUGGGUAAUCUGCCCAUAAGUGGGGAACAACAGUUGGAAACGACUGCUAAUACCGCAUACGCUGUCGCAAGACAGGAAAGGUGGCCUCUGAAUAUGCUGCCGCUUAUGGAUGAGCCCGCGUCUGAUUAGCUAGUUGGUGGGGUAAGGGCCUACCAAGGCGACGAUCAGUAGCCGGCCUGAGAGGGUGAACGGCCACACUGGGGCUGAGACACGGCCCAGAGUCCUACGGGAGGCAGCAGUGGGGAAUAUUGCGCAAUGGGGGAAACCCUGACGCAGCGACGCCGCGUGAGCGACGAAGGCCUUAGGGUUGUAAAGCUCUGUUUUAAGGGACGAAUGUUACAGGGAGUAAUAUGUCCUGUAAAUGACGGUACCUUAAGAGGAAGCCCCGGCUAACUACGUGCCAGCCGCCGCGGUAACAC
rnacentral:rRNA from 1 species